GGCCCUGUAGCUUAGCUGGUCAAGGCGCCUGUCUAGUAAACAGGAGAUCCUGGGUUCGAGUCCCAGCGGGGCCU
rnacentral:tRNA from 2 species